GUCCACGCCGUAAACGAUGAGUGCUAGUCGUCGCGGGUAUUGACCCCUGCGGCAACGAAGUUAACGCAUUAAGCACUCCGCCUGGGGAGUACGGCCGCAAGGCUAAAACUCAAAGGAAUUGACGGGGCCCGCACAAGCGGUGGAGCAUGUGGUUCAAUUCGACGCAACGCGCAGAACCUUACCUGGGUUAAAUCCACCGGAACCCUUCAGAGAUGAGGGGGUGCCCGCAAGGGAGCCGGUGAGAAGGUGCUGCAUGGCUGUCGU
rnacentral:rRNA from 1 species